UCCACCACCUAGAUCCGCAUGCGAUCUCCGUUGCAUCCUCGAAUCGGUUCCAAAAUCGGCAGAUCUCUCUCGAUCCCUUUGCCUAAUUCCGAUCCUGAAAUUUACCUGCAGUUCUGUUUGCCCCCAUUCCCGUUUUGUUUCGCUCCAAGUUUUCUCGAUCGUUCCUCCCCCCUUUCUUUUUUUGGGUGAAGAUUUCGUUGAAGGGGAGUUGGGUCACAUCCACGAGCCGCGCGUUUCCAGAUUCGACGGCCGCGGCUCGCGUGCCCCCGGCGCUCCCAGAUCGAUCCGAGGUUUACAUAGCCCGCGCCCGGUGAUGAGGUGGGCUCCUUUGGUUAUACGCGCCUCGCACAUGCGUCUCUCGCUUUCGCUUCUCCUCGCGUGUUUCUUCAUCAGAUUAUGUGAAUGUUCUGGGCGCUUGUGGCUUAUCUUGGUGUGUUUUGUUCUAAGACCUUUGCAUCGAGCACCGUGGUUGGGAUCUAGCUGUGCCGUUUCUCCUCACAGUGUCGCGUAUGUCUGUGGGAUUGAAUUGCCCAAUUGUAUGAUCUGUGAAGUUGGUAGUCUUUUUCUACUGCGGAUGCUCUGAGUCGGUGGCCACUUCUCUCCUGGUCCUGGAGAGUGGCAAUAUGAUAAUUGCCAACUGCUUUGGAUUGUCCAAGGAGUUUGUUCAGAUUUUAGUAUUCUUCGGUUUUUAAAGGCUCUGCUUUUCCUGUGUCUGAGAAUCUGGAUAUGUUUUUUUUGCAGCGUCUGUUUCUGUCAUGAAUCAUGAUCAUGAGUGCAGAAACUUGGGCUGAUCCUGCUCCGAGCACCCAGCUGCCCGAUACGGUCGACAGAAUCUGAAGCUUGUAGCUGCCUGCGCGCACGUCAGAUCCUGAAACACGUCCAUCGCUUGACUUCAUCCUGUCCAUGCUAUAUUGAGGCCUCGUAGAUGCACACCUGCGUAGGCUAAUUCAUACCAGGGAGCUAAUUGGGUACGCAAAAUCUUUCUAAAUACAAAAAUUAUUAUGCCGAAAAAUUUCGACAUAUUUUGACUCGCAGGAAUCGUCUAGCUUUGGGCCGGAUGUGUUGACGGCCCAAGUUCGAAUUCAAAAGGCCCAAAAAAUGGGAACGCAGUUAGGUUCAAGUUUCAGAAGCUUCUGGAUGGCAUCCGGGUCCUGUGGCCGUUGCAAAAUGCAAACCCUAGAUCCCCAAAUCUCUCGCUUAAAUCCACUCCACUAGGCGCAUGUCGGCGGCUGAAUCUCGCCCAACGCCCUCCACCUUGCUGGGAUUUUGAGCUCCGCCGUCAUCUCUACAUAUUACUGGGAGUUUGAUCUCAGUUCGUCGUGUAAUCGAUCGUUUUCUCUUUUCUUUCACUCCAGUUGCUUCGCCUAAUUAUUUGCGUCGCCGAUUUAUUCAUGGGAGCUUGGUCGUUUCCGCGAGUUGUGCCUUCCAGAUUCGAUAGCCAUGGCGUUCUUCAUCGAAUCGCUCCCAGAUUAAUUUGGGGUUCUAAUAGCCGCAGCCCGACCAAACAAUGGGCUUCUGGUUACGCACCCUCGAACAUUCAAUUUCUUCCCUCAAUGUUAUUUGGGAUUUGGUGGUCAGCAUCUGCGGUUGCUGCUGCGUGGCUGUGACGACAGAAAGAUAUUUUGUUGAUUCUGAUUCUUAAUGCCAUUUAAGGACCAACAAAUCGUGAUGACCUUAUUUGUGCGUGUCUGAGCCGAUGCAGUGCAGCGUCCAUUCUUUCUCAAGAUGUUUCUAUUUUUUGUUUUAUCUCUUAUCUUUAUUCCUGGUCAUGUGCUGAUUAUUGGCAGAGGCAAUUUGGUGUCUGAUUUUUGUGUUCUGUGCGCUCGUCUGAGGAUUUCGUACUUAUGUAUUAGUUUGGUCAUUGGAUGGGUAAUUCAGGGUGCAAAUAGCCUUGUAUUUCUAACUGACAGGCUAAAUGGCAAGGAGACAGAUAUCCUCUUCCUUUUCUGUGUGUCAGCUUGGAUUCCUUGGUGGUGUCUUUGGCUGUUCUUGCAUGGCUGGGAUGACAAAAACAUACGUUUCUCGAUCCUGAUACUUGAUAUGUUCAAGGACCAAAACUUUGAUGACCUUUGUGCGUGUCUGAGCCAGUGCAAAUGCAUGCUUUCCUUAUUCACUGUUCCUUAGUUAUCUUCUUGUUAUGUUUUCCUCAUGAUCCGUGUUUUUUUUUGCGCGGCUAUGAUGACAAGAACAUACAUUUCUCGAUGCUGAGACUUGAUUGUUCAAGGACCAAAGUUUGAUGAGCUCUGUGCGUGUCUGAGCCAGUGCACCUUUAUUCACUGUGUGAGUAGUAUGAUCCUUAUUUGUUGUCCAUGGUGUAUCCACUCCGAACUCGGGCUCAAUUUUGUUUUACUGGUUCACGUAUGGUGACAAUUUGUCUAUCAAAUGAUGCUAUUGGAUGCUUGUUUCUUCUGUUUUUUAGAUAGUUCAAACCGGAGUAGUUGCUCUCGUCCAAUUUAUCGCACUGUUCUGGAUGGUGUAUGGCACUGCAAAAAAAAUCCGUUAUGCCAAAAUGAAUGUUUGAAUCUUCUGAACCGGAGUUGAUUGUUCUGAUCCAUUUUGCCAGUCUUGUGUUAUUGUCACGUCAUCAUGGUGAUAAAUACUAUCAUCGCUGUUCUGAAUUAUCAGAUUAGUACGAGCAAAAUAGCUAAUGGAAAGCAAUCUCUUUCUAGCAUUGAAUUGCCAUACAUGAAUUUAUAUGUUGGGACUAUCUGUCGUAAAGAACUUGUUUAGAACCCUGCAUGAUUGGUCUUGAAACAUGUGAUCUAAAAGUUAUCAAAUACCUUGUCAAGUUAUUACGAAAUGAAUGACUAUGUGGUUGCAGAUGACUGUGGGUUAGGGUUUCCAACCACUGGUACUCUGUUACAUCUCUCUAAUCCUAUGGUGCUCUUGAGAAGGUAACUUCAUCGUUUUAAUGUAAUAGUUUAUUGAUUUAUGUGAAAAAUGUGCGGGAAGUUCAGUGGUCCUCCUGAACUUUUCAAAUUAGAGCUGUUUCUUCAAGUUUUCUCAAUGAAUAUCUGAAGCUUCCUCUGUAAGUCGAACCACUAAGCAGCUUACUAGUCCAGCAGGAUAUAAUCUGUCACAAAACUAGUUUAAGAUACAGCCAGAUUCAGAAUUACAGAUAAUUCAACUAGCUGAAUACUACAAAACGAAAGUAAAAAAAUAGCGAGCAUGCAUGGGACAAAUAUCAAGGUCAUCUCAACCUUUGUUUCUGAGUCGCUUUCAUGGUGAGAUAUCUAUGUCAAGCUCUUCAUAAAUUGAGGAAUCAUGGUGAAUGGUCAAGAUUCAAUAACCAACCAUAUGACCUAGAUUCACACUUUUUGUUUGAGUCGUCAUUAUUCUUGGAGUUUGUUAAGAUCUCGCCCAGAGGUCCACCUUGAGGCAGCUCCCAAGAACUUGAGAUGCAAUCGGCCUGCACUUGUGUCAUGUUAGGUGUAAGGCAGGUUGUCUGUGGACCUUCAGUGGAGUGGUAGAAAGUUGCUGAAACUAGCAUGGAAUCAGAAUAUUUGUUUUUCUUAGAAUCGGUGUUCUCAUUCUUUGCCAGGCUGAAGUUUUGAAGAACUGACUGGAGGGAUUCAGCAUCAUGCAGCUGUGUGGUGGAAAUGCUCUUAUGGCUUGGCUGAUUUCUGCUUUCCCAGGCUUUCAAUAUUGUAUCUGAGGAGAUUGACUCACUAUGCACUGCAGGGUUGAACUUAUCUGGUUUAUUAUGCUGCUUCAGUUGAGAGAGCAGGGACAAGGUGGGUUGUCGAUUUGUAGAAUUUAGCAGUGGAGCACUGUUGUCUUCUGUUGGCUGGUUUGCUUUCUCUUUGCUCAACAUUGUCCUGCAAAAGGUUCAAAUGAACAUUAUUAUGACUGCCUAGUGCAUAAUAAAACAACAUAAUUGUAAAGUUAUAACAUUAUGUUUCAGAGUAUGACAUUUUUGACACUUUUUAUUCAUUUUAGCUACUUUUUCUAAACCAGUCACUGUUGUUCUCUCUUGCGAAAAUGAAUCUGAAAUAUUAAAAGUUCUAUUAAUAUGAUGCACAAGUAAUAACUAAGUAGUUCUGCUUCAUACAAGGAUGAGUGAGGACGUUUACCUGUUUAAACUAUCUGUCCAAUAGCUGACAGUGCCUGGCUUCGAGUCGUUAACUUUUGCCUUCUUCAAACUACCCUGUGACACAGCACAUGGCAACGAGCCAGCAGCAGCAGCAGGCGCCUCUUUGGCGGUCUUUUUAGGUUGGUUUUCCACAGGCUUUCUUGAACGAUGACGAUUUCUGUUGAUGUGCCGCUCACAGUACUUGUGAUCAGCCAUUGCCUCCUUGGAGCAUCGCCAUUUCUUGCCAUCUGUUCGACGGCAUCUUCCAGGUUCUGGAUCAGAGUCUGCAUUGGUGUUCCCUUGAUAAAGAGGUGUCCAGCUCACUGCAUUGGAGAAAUUAAUGACAGUAUUCUGGUGCAGCAACAGUAUGGUUGAUAGUUUCAGAUAUUAUCACAGUUCCAAUAUUUUAUUCAACAUGCACUGCAAAAGUACCGAUUUGUGCAAAGUACUCUUGCUCUGUCUUGGUUCAUUGAAAGUGUUAUAGUUUUCAAGUACUUAGUAAGAAAAUGUAACUUUCUGUUUCAGAAUAUGCAUACCUCUAUUGGAUGACCUGAAGCUUUUACUGAUUGAAAUGAGCAGGCUGGAAGGUAUUGGGGCCUUUGCAUGGAGAUACUUGUAUAUGAGAGCCUGGUGCUCCAGCUCCAUCCACUGGGAGGGAGUAAAGGGCCUCUUGGUCCUGGAUAGCAGGAAAGCCUGCUCAUUUGGCCUUCCAAGAUCCAAGCCUAGAUGAUGAUGAAACAAGGAGAAUAUUUAAUCUGACGAAACCUGAAAUGCUGAAGCGAGCAGCAACCUUAUCUCCAGAGACGUGCAUGGUGAAGGGAGUGCCAAGACAAAAGUGUAAAGGCGAAAAAGCAGAUGAAAUGUUACAGGCAGCCUUGGCCGGUGAGGGAGGGGCCAAGUGAGCGGUGUAGUGCUGUGCAAAUUCCUAUGGCCGCUAGGCUAGGCCCCUCCAUAGCAUUCAUGAGAGCUCAUCAAGUUCCAUGAAUGCUGCACCUCUGUUCUCCUUUUGACUUUUGCUUUUCUUUUGAACAUUGCAACAGGGAGAGAGAGAAAAUGGCAAUACUUCUCUCUAUCACGAUUUGCAGAGAACAUAUCCAUCCGAGAACAUGCAGCCUAUAACAUCUUUGUUCUAUGCAGCUUACGAAACGAAGGAGGAAUGGACAAGAAGGAAGGCUCGGUUGCUGAAGAGGCGUACGCACCUGAGGGCAAUGCCUGAGCAGCCUUGGAGAAUCUGAGCAUCUUCUGCUCGUCAAGGAAGGGCGAGGGGUGGGAAGCCGCUGCAGCUGCUGCCUGUGCGAGGCCUGCUUGCUUGAGGAGACCCAGGUCGCCCUCCCUGGGCGACGGCGCGGCGCUGGCGAUGCCUCGCUGCAGCCCCAUCACUUCUCCGAGCUCCAUGGCCCCAGCACCAGCAGAACGGAACUCGAUGGCACUCAUUUGGAGGAGGGGAGGAGGCUCAUUCAAGCUGAUGUGGGAGAGUGGAACAAGGGUGGAAGUAGUGCGCAUCGUUGGGGACAGACAACAGCCUGGUUGGUUUUUGAGGAUGGAGGAGGGAGAGAGAAGGUGGGUGUGGCGAACGCGCUCGUAGCGCGGUGGUACCGCUCCCGGUGCGGAGCGUGCCCACCCGAGUUCGAUUCCAGUCUGGGACGGCUUGGGUGUCUUCGAAUUUUUUGGCAGCCUAUUUGUGUUGAGCGCGCGGUUAGCGUAGGUUUUGAGCCAAUGCCUCCGCAAAUGUUUCCUAGGGUUUUUUUAUGACCGCUGGCGAGUACCACGGCCGGUGUGGCAGUGAGUUGUUAAAGCAGGAUCUCAAUCUCCAUCCAAGGGUGGUAGUACCAUGAUCAAAUCCAACCGGAUGGACGGCCCUACCAAGGCUACGGCACUGCCUUUUGAAAUGGCUUGGGCUUUCUUGCGAGGCCAUUGGUGCAUGUGAGCCGGUUGAUGUGCUGUGCUGUGUGGUACUCGCUUGAAUCUUAGUAAUCAAGGGAAAAGGUUGUGAUUGGUAGUCUAGGGGUGUGUUUAGAUCCUUGAAAAUGCGGGAGAAAAAAUCACAGUGGAUAUUGUAGCACUUUUCGUUUGUUUGUGGUAAAUAUUGUCCUACCAUAACCUAACUAAGCUCAAAAGAUUUAUCUCGCAACGUACAUCAAAA